UUGAGAUAGGGUAGAUAAGCCAUUUCUAAAAUUUAAAUUAUAGGUUUAUUUUAAAUACUAAACUUAUUUUUGAAAUUAUGAUAACCUAUAGUAAGCCAUUCACUAUAAGAUGUUAGAAUGGUUUAAAUUAAAUGUUUGCUGCCAAGUUUUCAAGAAAGCCAAAACUGAACUGGUAGAAGUUACUAGCCAUGCACUUCACUUUUAAAGAAAAUUUAAUAUUCCCUUACCCAAGACAUUAAAAAAAAGUUAAAUUUAAUCAAUUGUACUCCAGACUACCAGAAAUUAAUCUUCUUAUGCUGCACACACAUUUAGGAGAAUUUACAGAAUAUCUGUUUUAAGAAACCCAUACAACCCAUUGAGGUUUGUCCAUUAAUCAGGUUUGAGAUAUUAGGAGUCAGAUUAACUCUGAGUUUUACAACAAUUUGGGGCUUGUUUACCCAGAGUUGCACUAUUUAAAGUUUUAUUUUUAUACAAAAACUAGUACAAGAGGCAGUGUGCAUGCUUAUUUUGAUUUAUACCAGGUUUAUUUUGUUUCAUCUUGAGCCUGUUAUAAACAUGUUUAAUCUAACCUAAAAUAAGCCAUUUAAAUUGAAAUUAGGAGUGCUCAUGCACCAGGUUGGUUAAACCACUGGUGUUGCCUAUAGAAGGGUUCCUAACACAUUGGAUACAAAGAAUUAGAUCAUCAGUAAACAGAUAUUGGUAGAUGUAUACACAAGAGAUGUUGGUAGAUGUUUGUUUCAUUGUACACACAAAAGCCAAGGAAGUAUUUCCAUUGAUAAUUAAUUUACAGAAAAGCAACAUUUUUAUUUUUGCCCGAGGACAGUUUGAUUUAAAGAUAUUUACUUGGUAUAUUUUGACAUGUUACUUUGUUAACCAUUACAAAGAUUUACCUUUGACUCUCAACAUCUGUUAAAUAAUUGUAUGAACCCCAUAAUUCAAGAUUUCAUGCAACUGAAUAAAUAGAGAAAAAU